AAUCAGGUGAGGAACCAGGAGGGGUAGCCAAGAAAAAAACUAAAGUCAAAGUAAAAGAAGCUAUUAAAGAACCACUCAAGAAAUUAAGGGAGAAGCAGGAAUCCAAGAAGGAGGAAGUCAAAGAUGAGGAAGAAAAAAAGAAAGCCAGGAAAGGAAAAGAUGCUACUGAUCGAAAGGACAAGAAAGCUGUUGAUACGAAUAAAUUAAAGAAAGAUUCUGACAAGG